rnacentral:rRNA from 1 species
UCAGCGGCAGACGGGUGAGUAACACGUGGGUGACCUGCCCUUGAGACGGGGAUAACGGAUGGAAACAUGCGCUAAUACCCGAUAGGGUCCCAGGGUCAAAGCUGGGAUGAAAGCUUUGGUGCUCAAUGAGGGGCUCGCGGACCAUCAGCUAGUUGGUGAGGUAACGGCUCACCAAGGCGAAGACGGGUAGGGGGUGUGAGAGCACGGUCCCCCAAAAUGGGACUGAGACACGGCCCAUACUCCUACGGGAGGCAGCAGCAGGGAAUAUUGCACAAUGGACGGAAGUCUGAUGCAGCGACGCUGCGUGGAUGAUGAAGGCCUUCGGGUUGUAAAAUCCUUUACGGGGUGACGAGGAAGGACGGUAGCCCCGGAACAAGCGUCGGCUAACUACGUGCCAGCAGCCGCGGUAAGACGUAGGACGCAAGCGUUAUCCGGAUUUACUGGGCGUAAAGCGUCUGUAGGCGGAUGAGUAAGUUGGGCGUGACAGCUCCGGGCUCAACCCGGAGAGGCCGUUCAAUACUGCUGAUCUAGAGGAGGCCAGAGGGGAGUGGAAUUCCUGGAGUAGCGGUAAAAUGCGCAGAUAUCAGGAAGAACACCAGUGGCGAAGGCGGCUCCCUAGGGCCCACCUGACGCUGAGAGACGACAGCUAGGGGAGCGAACAGGAUUAGAGACCCUGGUAGUCCUAGCCGUAAACGAUGGAUGCUAGGUGUAGGGCCGUAGAGGCUCUGUGCCGGAGCGAACGCGAUAAGCAUCCCGCCUGGGGAGUACGGCCGCAAGGCUAAAACUCAUACGAAUUGACGGGGACCCGCACAAGCAGCGGAGCGUGUGGUUUAAUUCGAUGCUACACGAAGAACCUUACCUGGGUUUGACAUGGGCGUGGUAGUGAAGCGAAAGCGGAGCGACCCUUCGGGGAGCGUCCACAGGUGCUGCAUGGCUGUCGUCAGCUCGUGCCGUGAGGUGUCGGGUUAAGUCCCGUAACGAGCGCAACCCUUGCCCUUAGUUACAAGUGUAUAAGGGGACUGCCGGCGGGAAGCCGGAGGAAGGUGGGGAUGACGUCAAGUCAGCAUGGCCCUUAUAUCCAGGGCUACACACACGCUACAAUGGCCGGUACAGAGGGCAGCGAAGCCGCGAGGUGGAGCGAAUCCCAGAAAGCCGGUCGUAGUUC